AAAAAGUGUGAAUUUUCAAGGAAAUUAAGUGAAAAAUGCGGUGUGCCCUUCGACAAAGGCAAGGAAAUUACGCUUGGGGAUCACUAAGCUGAGUACACCCGAAAUCUGAACUUUUGAAACCUGUCGGGUUAGCCUGUAAAUAGCAGACAUCGUCGAGAACUAUAGUUGGCCAUACUAUUUCAAAAACUAAAGGUUUACUGUCUUUACUACUUUUGUUCAUUUGUGGGCCCAUGUAGCACUGUAAAUUAAAUUUCAUACUUUGGGUUUUUGUAUUAUAGUUUGUAUAAAUAUAUUU
rnacentral:sRNA from 1 species